rnacentral:other from 1 species
UGACCCCUGCAGUGUUCGUGUCUUAGGCGUGUAUUUGAAGGAACCUAUACCCGUACUAGGGGAGAUCAGGUCUUGUCGGAUCGAAAACGCCUGCUUGCCAGGACUUUCGGACGCACGCAACGAUCACCCACUUGAUAGUAAGGGUUCCCUUCAAUCGCCUUUCUCACGGCACAGGUGGAGGUGAG